AUUAACAACAACUCACUUCAUAAAAGUAUAAAAAUCAUUCCAUACAUAAGCACAACAAAGUAUUUAAUCCACACUUUAAACAUGAAUAUUUUCAUAAAUAAUAUUCAAGUGUUGAAUAAAAUACUACACACUUACAUAUACAAUACAAAGCAAGAAAAUGAACAAAGCAACAUAAAUGAGUAAGAAAAUCUUAACCACAAGCUUCAAAUCUUCAAGACAAAAGUGUGUUGUGCAAAACCCUAGCUUCAAACUUGUUCUCUCUAGUGUAUGGGACUGAAAAUUAAGCCAAAGAUAUGCUUAGUCGGGUAUUAAAUGGUUUGGGGAUAAAAAAUGUGAAAUUCUAUUCAUGCCUAGAUUUUUCCCAGAUUUAAUGCACCGCGAUCGCGUGAAAUGGAUUGCGAUCGCGUAGAGUCAGAUUAGAACUUUUGCGAUCACAGAUACUCCUUUGCGGUCUCGUAGAACUAGCUUCAGGCGUUAUGCGAUCGCAGACUAAACUUUGCGGUCGCGUAGAAUAUCCCAGUUUGGUGCACAAUUUCUCUAACGCGAUCGCAAAAACAUCAUUGCGAUCGUGAUCAAUGUUUACACAGACUAGUGUGAUCGCGUUACGAUAUUUGCGAUUGCGAAGAGUAAUUGCCAGCUGUCAUUUUUCAUCAUUUUGGCAAAACUUGACUUGAUUUCUUCCAUUUCUUGUUCAAGUCACAUGACACCUGAAAAUUGUCAAUUAAUAUUAGAAAAUAUCAUGUUUUCUAUCAAAAUUAUGCAAACGUUUAAAUAUUAAGAGGAGAUAAGUUGAUAAAAUACCAACUUAUCAAACCCUAAAACUUAAACUAUUGCUUGUCCUCAAGCAAUUCAAAACUAAGAACAUCCUUCAAUCAAAUCAUCAUUUACCCUCAAUGGCAAACCAAAUAUCAUUCAAAGUCAAAAAGGGCCACUUUAAGCACAAUCUCGUGACUUCGGUUGGUACCAACAAUUAAUAUAAGGCAUACGAAUCACAAACUUUUCACAAAUUUUAUUUUCAAUCAAGUGCUCAAACACUAUAUUAAUCAAAGUAUCAACCAAGUCAUGACACUAACGAUUCAAAAUUUGCCUCUCUAUCAUAUUUGUUUUCCUUUGCUCAUUCCUCCCAAUUGAAAAUGAGAUUAAAUUCACAACUCGACUUCAUGUGCCCUCACACUUUAAGAGAGAAUCUCAAACUCACAAAUUUCAAUUCAAGACAUCAAUGGGAUGACAAAAAGAACGAAUCAACUCUCUCUCUCUCUCUCUCAAAGAUAUUCAAAUACACACAAGUAAUACCAUAGGCUUGCCCUUCAUGUAUUUCUUUACUAAUGUAGACAUACUUGGUUCAAAAUCAAUUAGGACUUAAAGGGUUGUACUUUAUGCUUUUCGUUAAGGUAGGGCAUAGUUUGGUAAGAGUGACUCAAAACCUCCCUAAGUAAUACACUUUUUUUUUACAAUCAAAGUCCACUUCUUUCAAGAAUAUUUUCACCCUUUCUUCUCUCUCUUUUUAUAUUACCUAGUCUUCCAUUUAUUCAUACUUUCUCUUCUUAUUUUUAUAACACUUUUCACUUUUUGAGAAGCCUCCAUAUCACAACUUUUCCAACCUCCACCCCCAAACUUAGGUUUUUAGCUUAUAUUCAUACUUUAAAUUACUUAGGAAGGUAUAGUCCCACAAGAGUAGCGUGUAACAUGGUUGCCAAAGAAAAAAUUAGAAAUCUCAAAAGGGUUGACUAGGGAAAAUACGCACAGGUAGGAAAUUUAGGAACAAUAAUGAUUCAAGGAAGGCCUAAUAUCAUUUUUCAAGCCAAGUUACUCUAGGAUUUCACCUUGAAGCAUAUUCCGGGCAAUUUCUAGACCACAAAUGAUGCAAAAGAAUUUCACAAUUAAAGCUCAGCACACAUGACACAUGAAAACUCAAGUGAAAUGCAAAUCCAAAAUUCAAUUGGAACCAAUGAAUCUCAAGGAAGUCACGGAAAUGUAGCCUAAGAAGUUAUUUAGUGAAUCAAAAAGCCAAAAUUAGAAUCUAAAAUUCACAACAAGGAACCUUUUAAUCAUUCAAUGUCAUCAUAUUUGUAUUAAAAACUUCAUAUGCCAAAUUUUAAAUUAUAUUAGUACCAAACAAGUCAUAUGUUGGCUUAUGGGCACAAGAUUACACCCCAAAAAUCAAUUUAUUCACGACUAGCUACUAAACUAACUACUAAAAAAAUAUAUUUACUUUCUUAAAAAAAACAAAGACUAAUCCCUUAAGAAAGGUGUCACUCCAUCCAUCAUAGGGAAAAGUUACCCGGUUCAACACAACUAAAUUCCUUGGAAAAGAACCACGGUAGAAAGAAAAACUAAGGAAUUACCUUAAUACUGUUGUACUAAAGAAUAAUAUUACCAAUCUACACAAGUUCACAACCCCCAAAGACAAUAAAUUUAUCCAUACAACAAAAACUACAUUUCCACACGUAAUCCAAAGAUAAUAUAGGAAUUUAGGCCAAAGAAACAAAUUAAAAAGCUUUUGGGAAAGAAUUGAUGAAUCUACUGUUUUUCUGCCCGGGCAGCAUUGAAUCGCGAUCACGGAUAGGGUCACGCGAUCGUGAAGAAGAAGGUGAUGCAAAGCUACAUGAUGGCAAAAGCUUUUACGCGAUCACGAUGUAGGAUGUUUGGCACUCAGCAGAUUUAUACCUACGCGAUCGCGGAAUAAGGCGUCGCGAUUGCGAGGGUCUUCUUCUUCACCUAGACAAAGUUCAUUUGGGCAUUUCAGUGAACAGGUUGUGUGCCCCAAUUUUCUCAGGAAGUAAACACCAUCAACCCAAGGAUUUUUACCCCAAAAUUUCACAAAUUAAUUUUCUUUCUCUCAACCAAUUUCUCACAGCAAGCAAGCAUACAAAGAAACCCAUAAUGUAUUCGAUAAAGUAAAUAAAAUUUCAAGCCCUAAAAUCAAGAGAGUUUAUGCUAUUUAUCACUUCACACCAAGCAAAGGAGCAGAAGAAACAAGAUGAAACAAGAAAUAGGAGAGAAAUGCACAUACCUUGAGAGUGAUGGAUGAAAAGUUGCAAAGGAAUUCAGGUGUGGAGAAUUUUUGAGAUGGUUUCCAGGAGUUAGGGAUGUGAGAGUUGUUUAAGUGUUUAGGCAAAGUGGGUGUCCGAAAAUUUCUAUUCCCAAAUUAUAUGUUCGGGACUUACCCGUUACGCGAUCGAGUGAGAAAUACUAUAUUCACGGAAAACAAACUUUCUAAAUAGAUGCGAUCGUGAUUGACAUUCCGCCGAUCGCGUAGAAGUAAAGAAAAUUCAUUCUCUGCGAAUGCGGGCGAUCGCGAUUAACUGCAAUUUUGUGUAAUUUUUCUGCAGCUAAUGGUUUGGGGCUGCCCCGUCACCUCGACCUGCUCAAAUCAACUCUAAAAAUUAUGAAACUUGGCAGAUUAGUCAAAAAUAAUAUACUAAGCUAUUCUGAAAAAGAAAAUUUCAAAAAUGAUGGAACAUUUUGAAAAACGAUGGGUUACCUCCCACCAAGCGCCGCAUUUAACGUCGUGGCACGAUGAAAGCCAACUUUUCCACUUUUCUCGCUAUUUGGAUGAUAUGAACUGGUCACUUAGCUUGGAAUCAAGCUUGUGACCACGAGCGAUGGGGGGUGGUAAAUUGAUCAUCAAGCCAAGCUUUACAUUCUUCAUUUUGCAUUCUUGGUUCUUAUGUGAGGAAUGUCAUUUUGUUUUCUUGCUUCCUCAAAUUAUAAGAUGUAU
rnacentral:lncRNA from 1 species